GCAGUCGAACGAGAAACGGUCUAGCUUGCUAGAUGCAGUCUAAGUGGCGCACGGGUGAGUAAUGUAUAGCUAAUGUGCCCCUUGGAGGGGGAUAACAGUUGGAAACGGCUGCUAAUACCCCAUACUCCUUCAUUCUUAAUGAGUGAAGGGAAAGUUUUUUCGCCAAGGGAUCAGGCUAUAUGGUAUCAGCUAGUUGGUGAGGUAACGGCUCACCAAGGCAAUGACGCCUAACUGGUCUGAGAGGAUGAUCAGUCACACUGGAACUGAGACACGGUCCAGACUCCUACGGGAGGCAGCAGUGGGGAAUAUUACACAAUGGAGGAAACUCUGAUGUAGCAACGCCGCGUGGAGGAUGACACAUUUCGGUGCGUAAACUCCUUUUAUAUGGGAAGAUAAUGACGGUACCAUAUGAAUAAGCACCGGCUAACUCCGUGCCA
rnacentral:rRNA from 1 species